rnacentral:rRNA from 1 species
UGGGGAAUCUUGCGCAAUGGGCGAAAGCCUGACGCAGCCAUGCCGCGUGAAUGAUGAAGGUCUUAGGAUUGUAAAAUUCUUUCACCGGGGACGAUAAUGACGGUACCCGGAGAAGAAGCCCCGGCUAACUUCGUGCCAGCAGCCGCGGUAAUACGAAGGGGGCUAGCGUUGCUCGGAAUUACUGGGCGUAAAGGGAGCGUAGGCGGACAGUUAAGUCAGAGGUGAAAGCCCAGGGCUCAACCUUGGAAUUGCCUUUGAUACUGGCUGUCUUGAGUAUGGGAGAGGUAAGCGGAACUCCGAGUGUAGAGGUGAAAUUCGUAGAUAUUCGGAAGAACACCAGUGGCGAAGGCGGCUUACUGGCCCAUUACUGACGCUGAGGCUCGAAAGCGUGGGGAGCAAACAGGAUUAGAUACCCUGGUAGUCCACGCCGUAAACGAUGAGAGCUAGUUGUCGGCAUGCAUGCAUGUCGGUGACGCAGCUAACGCAUUAAGCUCUCCGCC